ACAAAAAACGACCCAAGCCCUGGAAAACGUGAUGGCUUAACGUGAUGUUAGAGCCCUGUGUUUGCAAAGCUCCAGCAGGCUGCAAAGCAGUGUUUGCAAAGGGCAAGGUGCUUUCAAGAACGAGGUGUGUUUGUGCAGGAGGGAGAACAGUCACAUGCUGGGGUGGAAAGCCCCCCUCCCCGCCCCCCUUUUGUAGCUGCAUCUCCCUUGUUGAAAUAUAGGACAGCUCUCUAUUGCAAUCCGAAGCCCCCUCUGCUGUAGGAAAUUCAGAAGCAGGAGGAGGGGGUGGGGGGAAACCAGAGACUGAAACUGGAGCAGUCGGGUGUCACAAAAGGAAACCGCAAAGGAAAGGUGGCAGGUCGGGUGGCGGUUGCCCCCUUUUGCCAUCACAGUGCUUGCUCAUGAGGCCACUGGAACGGCAGCUGCUUUUUGCCUUGUGCAGUACAACAUUUGCCAAACAAGGGUGCCCCAGUUUUGUAAUCUGUCCGCUGCUGGAGUGAGGGGGUGAGCUGCGCAGCAGUUACGCUGGGUGCCAGGUAGCAGUGCCAAGCCAGAGCUGCUGCAAUGCAUAUUAUUCAGGUCAAACGGUAGUAGCUCUGCCGCUGCUUCUCUCCCACUCCUUGGGGGCGGUGGGGGUGGAGUUUGCAGGGGAAUGAGUUUGGGGAACAAGGUGCUGGUGCGGUGGUGAUGGAAGGUGCCCAUUUUGGACCUUGGCAAUCAUGAGCAAACCAGCUCUUUUGAUAGAUUCCUUUGGGUCACUAGCAGAGAGGUAGCUGCUCCUCUAUCCCCUCGUCUAAGUGGGGGAUGUCCCUAGCAGGUCUAGGGGGUAUAUGUGAGCACAUGCCACCUACCCACGCCUGCACCAAAUGAGGACACAGUGAGGAGGCCAAUCCAGGGAUGCCUGCAGCAGCCCCACUCCAGCCCACUGGAGGCCAAGGUCCUAAGAGCAGAUCCAGGAGAGGGAUUCAUUUGCUAGCUUGGUGUGUGCAAGCGUGAGCAGGCAGGAGUGGUGUGCAUGGGAGCUCCUGCCAAGCUGCACCAUGGUUCUGAUGUGCUCUGAGUGCGCUGCCCUGCAUGCUUCAGUCUGUCCCAGGCUGGAGUUCCACAGGUCUCCUUAGAGUACACCCUAUAGUACCAUAACCUGAGCAUGAUGAAGGUCAAUUCAUCUCACCCAGAAGCAAUUUGGAAAGGGUUAAUGAAAAGCCUCAUUAUCCUUCCCCCCCAGCUGGAGUCAAGCUGCCAGCUGCUAUAAAAGACUUGCAGUCCAGGCAGAAUAGUGAUGGGGAGGGUGGCUAAUGCUGGUAAUUUGCUGUAGUGGAAGGAGUAGUAGGGAGACAGACCGCUAAGUAGGACAGGUAAGGUGCAGCUUAGGGAGCUGGGGAAGGACUUGGUAGAAACAAGCCUUUGCUGCUGAAUCUUAGAUCCCUGGGCAGGAGCCUAGAGGAUGGGAUGAGCCUGGGUUCCUGCACCUUCUCUUCCUAACAGUGAUGGUCUUAGAGGUAAAGGUCCUGGGGACCUGUGAGCCCCAAACUGGGCAUGUGGCCUUUGGGCUAUGUGUCUAAGUUUCCUUUCUGAUGAGAGGGCGAGACCUUGAGUUGCAUACCUGGCAAGGGGCAUGGGUAACAUGGGCUUCAGGGGUGGUGUCUUGGGGGCUGUGAGAGCCUUUGGCACUGAGUUUCUGCUGUUCUUACUCUGAAGGUCAGACUGUAGUACUUUCUCAGGGGGUUGCUGACCAGCUAUGGCCAGUCAGGAGACAGCCUUUGUCAAAGCAAAAGCUCCUCUCCUAGGCAAUGGAAGCCAAUUGCUUAAAGUAGAUGGUAUUAAACCCUUCUCUCUAUGUGUAUGUCGGGCUUCCCAAGAGUAUUCUGUCCUCUACUGUAAAUUAUAGGGAUGUAACUUGAGAUGGGCCCUGUCCCUCAAAUGUGUGUGGUUCUUGGGUUGUUUCUUCGUCUGGGAGCUCUGUUAGGUUCCUGAGCUGUGGGCCUAUAGGUACUGGAAGCAGCAACCUCAAAACCAAUAUGUUGAGUACUGUCCUUUUAGCCAGGACGUCACAGAUGCUUAGUGUGACAUCCUCUCCCCUCCUUGCCUGUUUUCCUGGACAGGUGUGGUGAUCUAAUAUGCUCUAGGGAAGUGGAGACCAGCCUUCUGGGCAGGUGUACCCCAAGUUAAACCCCACACCCACCCUGACUACUGUCCUUAUCUUCUAUGUUCCAGACAGAAGCUUCUCUUGCCACCUGUGGUACACAAUGCUACUUGUUGACCACCCUGAUCUACUGUUUAAAGUCUACUUUAGCUGCAAAGCAACCCUAGUGUCCUACCCCAGUGACCAGGCCACCAUGCAUUAUUCCAGCCAUUACUGAGCUGCUCCAAAUGCAGUGUCCCUUAAGACUGAGUGAGGGAGUUCUGAUGGACUCCAUUCACCCACAGCUUGACUAGCAAAUGUCUUCCUCAAGAAUGGAGGAAGGCUUAUUGUUCCAGUUAGGGAAUUGGAAUACUAGAAAAAAAUACCUUGUUUCACUCUUCAGCAUGCCUGUGGCCCCAGUAUAGGCUGUGAGUACCCCGUGCUUUUAAUGCAUUUAUCUUUGCAAGCCCCUGGGACAGGGCUGUGCUAUUGUUUCCAUUUUACAGAUGGGAAAACUGAGGCACAGGUGGAUAACUUGCCUAGGAAGUGUGGUAGGGAACAGAGGUAUUUGAGCUUCUUAAGUUUUAAGGUUGUGGCAUAACUGGUACUAUACUGCUGCCUCUUGUGGAUUCUGAACCAUUAAAAGUGCUCUAGUGACCAUAAUGGUACGUGCAGGAGCAGAACUAACCUUUUUUGCAAGCUGAGGCUCCUUCUAGAGUUGCUGAACCUUCUAGGACACAUCCCAGAUGCGGCCAGCCAUGCCCUGCACAUGCUGGAUCAGCUGACCUAGCCCUGUAAAGGAGCCUGAUCUGCAAGGGUAGCUCUUGCAAAUUAAUACUUGGGAACUGGAUGGCAGCCAUUAGCACAGGAAAGGUUUCAAUCACAUCUCUUAGCUGAAGAUCACCUGUACUGGCUCUCUGGGAAUGCUGGCAGGGAGGGGCCGUGUUUCCCAAAUCAGCACGUGAGAUGCAUUUUUGGGGCGUAGCAAACUCAUGUCUCAUUGGAUCUAGCUUGUCACGUCCUCCAGGAGCUUGGCUGCGAAGUCAGGAGUUUUCACCUGCAGCCCAGUUCCUGCCAAGAUAUAGAUGGUGAUUCACAGCAAUGCAUCAUAGAGGACCUCAACAAAAGCCAGGUUUUGUCUUCUGGAGCCUGAGACUGCUGCAGAACCAAUUUAGCAAACUUCAUCUGGGCACAUGUUGAAUCAUAAGACCUGGUUAUGAUUCCCAGGGCACAGGCAACUCAUCAGAGCUCUUAUUUGAAAAAUAAUUCUAAGAAACAGCCAUUUCCUGCCCUGGUCUGAGUUGAGUCUCAGCAUUCCCAAGAAAAGCUCCGGAAAUGACCCAGAUCAACCCAUAGAGCUGUCCACUGCCCUUUGAGUCUCAGCAACGCUACUGGUCAGCUGCGAAGCCCACAGAAGUCACUGAGAUUCUUCCUACUGAUUCCAGAAAGUACUUGCCAUCAAGACUGACUUAGGCAAGUGUCUUUUUUCUUCAGCAUCAUAACACAGUGAGGUAGCUACUGGCAUCCCAAGCCAACCCCAUACUGCUUCUGGACUCAAAUGUGUUCAAGGAGUACACCACUUGUUCACUCUCCGAGUCUUCUACACGUGCCCAGACUCAUUCCUGAGAUAGAGUUUGUGAAGCUGGUUCUGCAGAAGCUGCCUCAGACUCUAGGAAGCUAAACAUGGCUUUUGCUGCCUCCAUCCACCCCAAAGCUGCUCCCUGUUUCCUGUGCCAUGCACCAACAUGAUCAGAUCUGCAUAUUAGUGCUGUUUCCCUUCUUAUGCAGGAACAGCAGAAGCCUGCUGGGCCCUGAUCCUUAACCAAGGUAUCCAGGCAGCACAGCAAGCAAAUAAAAUAUGUACUAUAGAACUGUGUGGCCUGUCUCUUAUGGACUUGAAGUGUUGUUUUUUUUCUAGUACACAAUUACCCACCUAGCAGGAAGUAGGUUUCUGUUUAGGGCAUGCACAAACAUCUAGCUCUUAGUGAAAAUGAAACUAUGAGAUAUCAGAAAAGCCUUCACAAAGUUUAGAGGCCAAGGAGUCCAGUUUUAUCUGGAACUGAUCCCUCUGUUUCAUUUUACCCUCUGAGUCUUCCAAAAAAAGCACUUGGAUGCACUAAAAACCUCUCCCCAUCUGUUGUUCCCACAGCCACAAUAUUCAGCCUGGCUGAGCAACUGAAAAUCACAUGGAUCCAAACAUGCAGCUUAAAAAUAGACCUGAAAGUCCUUCUGCAUUUACUGAUUGAAGGGGAGGCUCUGGUCACUGCUGCUCAUCAGAGAGUGUGGCAGUAAGUCUCCACGCCCUCUUUGUCCCAGUUCAUCUACAUGUGCCAUGCUGCGGUGCCAUGUGACUUGGCACUCGCAUUCCCAGCUAAUGCCUGUGUGUGAGCAAGUAUUUAUUUUUGCUUCCAGGCAAGCCAGAUUCUUUACCUUAUUAUACCUUUUCCAGGAAAGAGCUGCAUUUUCAUUGAGGCUCUGCUGUUACCCAAGCUGUAUCAUGUCUGGAGGUUCAGUCAGUUGAUGUUGCAGGACAAACAGCAUUUGCCCUAUUCCAGUUUUGUCCUUAGUCCUGCAGAAACUUCAUGUAUGUAAGUAACCCCCUGAUACCAGCUAGGCUGCUUGCAAGGAGCUCUUGCACACAACAACAGAGGUUACAAGCUUGUUCCAAAAAAACAGCAUAGAGUUUACAUGAUUAAUUAGGGGGCCUGACUCCCCCAAGGUCUUCCCAUUGCAGUCAUCCCACUAGAUCCAAGGGGCUGACUCUUGAGAGUAAUUCUUCAUCACGUGAGCAAGGGUUUAGAAUAUGAGCCUGGGAGGCAGGACAGAUGGGCUCUACUCAUGGUCUGUCACUUGCCUGGGGCAAGUAAUC